rnacentral:rRNA from 1 species
AGUGAACGCUGGCGGUACGCCUAACACAUGCAAGUCGAAAUGCAGCACAGGAGAGAUUGUUCCCUGGGUGGCGAGUGGCGGACGGGAGAGGAAUACAUCGGAAUCUACUUUUUCGUGGGGGAUAACGUAAGGAAACUUACGCUAAUACCGCAUACGACCUACGGGUGAAAGCAGGUGACCUUCGGGCUUUGCGCGAUUGAAUGAGCCGAUGACGGAUUAGCUAGUUGGCGGGGUAAUGGCCCACCAAGGCGACGAUCCGUAGCUGGUCUGAGAGGAUGAGCAGCCAAGCUGGAACUGAGGCACGGUCCAGACUCCUACGGGAGGAAGCAGUGGGGAAUAUUGGACGAGGGGCGCAAGCCUGAUCCAGCCAUACCGCGUGGGUGGAGAAGGCCUACGGGUUGUAAAGCCCUUUUGUUGGGAAAGAAAUCCAGCUGGCUAAUACCCGGUUGGGAUGACGGUACCCAAAGAAUAAGCACCGGCUAACUUCGUGCCAGCCGCCGCCUAA